UGGCCUGGAUGUCUGGGGAUCUAGGGGGAGGGAAGUGUGGAGAAGCUAGGAUGUGUGAUUGUCCUCACCUGUAGUGAACUGUAAAUAGAUUUGGGGAUUUUGGAGAAAUGUGUCCUUUAGAGAAACCACAUUGUUUGCACUUCCUCCCCUUUCCUUCUCAGCCCCCAGGAGCACCAUCAGAUCUUCACCACUCCUGCUGUCACACCAUGGUGUGCUAAUGGGGGCAAUCGGGGUACCAGGACCCCUCGACCCUUUCAGUAGCAGAUUCCCAGUGCAUUUCCCGGCCUUGAGGACCAUCCCUCUGCCAUUGGGACCACUGAGAUGGAGCUGUGGGCUCUACUGCUACAAAGGGAAGCCCCAGGACCAACAUCAGAUCUUCUUCAUUACUACUCUUGAGCCACUGAGUGCUGCUGGGGACAAUCUGGCAUCUUGGACCACCUCGACCAUCUCACAGAAGGAGAGAAUGAAAUCAACUUUUUCUCCUGCGCUCAGCAACUGUGGUUGCCCUCCCUCAUUGACACCCAGGGUUCUUGCCUUCACUCUCUGUUCUAGACUGAACUCCUGCCUUUAACACCCAGUGUUCCCUAUUACCUCCUUGCCCCCUGAAGCAAAUGCCACUGCUCAAAACAGACUUUUGUAUAAGUUUUUAAUAAAUCCUA